AUUGAACGCUGGCGGCAGGCCUAACACAUGCAAGUCGAGCGGAUGAAGGGAGCUUGCUCCUGGAUUCAGCGGCGGACGGGUGAGUAAUGCCUAGGAAUCUGCCUGGUAGUGGGGGAUAACGUCCGGAAACGGGCGCUAAUACCGCAUACGCCCGGGGGGGGAAAGGGGGGGAUCUUGGGACCUCACGCUCUCAGAUGAGCCUAGGUCGGAUUAGCUAGUUGGUGGGGUAAAGGCCUACCAAGGCGACAAUCCGUAACUGGUCUGAGAGGAUGAUCAGUCACACUGGAACUGAGACACGGUCCAGACUCCUACGGGAGGCAGCAGUGGGGAAUAUUGGACAAUGGGCGAAAGCCUGAUCCAGCCAUGCCGCGUGUGUGAAGAAGGUCUUCGGAUUGUAAAGCACUUUAAGUUGGGAGGAAGGGCAGUAAGUUAAUACCUUGCUGUUUUGACGUUACCAACAGAAUAAGCACCGGCUAACUUCGUG
rnacentral:rRNA from 1 species